rnacentral:rRNA from 1 species
GAGUGAAGCGGCAAAAGCUCAAAUUUGAAAUCUAGCACCUUCGGUGUUCGAGUUGUAAUUUGAAGAUGGUAACCUUGGGUUUGGCUCUUGUCUAUGUUCCUUGGAACAGGACGUCAUAGAGGGUGAGAAUCCCGUCUGAUGAGAUGCCCAUUCCUAUGUAAGGUGCUAUCGAAGAGUCGAGUUGUUUGGGAAUGCAGCUCUAAGUGGGUGGUAAAUUCCAUCUAAAGCUAAAUAUUGGCGAGAGACCGAUAGCGAACAAGUACAGUGAUGGAAAGAUGAAAAGAACUUUGAAAAGAGAGUGAAAAAGUACGUGAAAUUGUUGAAAGGGAAGGGCAUUAGAUCAGACUUGGUGUUUUACGAUUAUCUUCUCUUCUUGAGUUGUGCACUCGUAUUUCACUGGGCCAGCAUCGAUUCGGAUGGCAAGAUAAUGGCAGUUGAAUGUGGCUUCACUUCGGUGGAGUGUUAUAGCUUCUGCUGAUAUUGCCUGUCUGGAUCGAGGGCUGCGUCUUUUGACUAGGAUGCUGGCGUAAUGAUCUAAUG